rnacentral:rRNA from 1 species
AUUGAACGCUGGCGGCAGGCUUAACACAUGCAAGUCGAGCGGAGAGAGGUAGCUUGCUACUGAUCUUAGCGGCGGACGGGUGAGUAAUGCUUAGGAAUCUGCCUAUUAGUGGGGGACAACAUUUCGAAAGGAACGCUAAUACCGCAUACGUCCUACGGGAGAAAGCAGGGGAUCUUCGGACCUUGCGCUAAUAGAUGAGCCUAAGUCGGAUUAGCUAGUUGGUGGGGUAAAGGCCUACCAAGGCGACGAUCUGUAGCGGGUCUGAGAGGAUGAUCCGCCACACUGGGACUGGGACACGGCCCAGACUCCUACGGGAGGCAGCAGUGGGGAAUAUUGGACAAUGGGCGGAAGCCUGAUCCAGCCAUGCCGCGUGUGUGAAGAAGGCCUUAUGGUUGUAAAGCACUUUAAGCGAGGAGGAGGCUACUUUAGUUAAUACCUAGAGAUAGUGGACGUUACUCGCAGAAUAAGCACCGGCUAACUCUGUGCCAGCCGCCGCCGUAA